rnacentral:rRNA from 1 species
GGGGAGCUUGCUCCUCCGGAUUAGUGGCGAACGGGUGAGUAAUACGUGAGCAAUGUGCCCUUGACUCUGGGAUAAGCGCUGGAAACGGCGUCUAAUACCGGAUACGACCAUCGGAGGCAUCUCCUGGUGGUGGAAAGAACUUCGGUCAAGGAUCAGCUCACGGCCUAUCAGCUUGUUGGUGAGGUAACGGCUCACCAAGGCGACGACGGGUAGCCGGCCUGAGAGGGUGACCGGCCACACUGGGACUGAGACACGGCCCAGACUCCUACGGGAGGCAGCAGUGGGGAAUAUUGCACAAUGGGCGCAAGCCUGAUGCAGCAACGCCGCGUGAGGGACGAAGGCCUUCGGGUUGUAAACCUCUUUUAGCAGGGAAGAAGCGAGAGUGACGGUACCUGCAGAAAAAGCACCGGCUAACUACGUGCCAGCAGCCGCGGUAAUACGUAGGGUGCAAGCGUUGUCCGGAAUUAUUGGGCGUAAAGAGCUCGUAGGCGGUCUGUCGCGUCUGCUGUGAAAACCCGAGGCUCAACCUCGGGCUUGCAGUGGGUACGGGCAGACUAGAGUGCGGUAGGGGAGAUUGGAAUUCCUGGUGUAGCGGUGGAAUGCGCAGAUAUCAGGAGGAACACCGAUGGCGAAGGCAGAUCUCUGGGCCGUAACUGACGCUGAGGAGC